AAGGAGUCGUCUUCGUAUGCGAGUGUUCGGGUGUAAAACCCGUACGCGUAAUGAAAGUGAACGUAGGUGAGAGCUUCGGCGCAUCACCGACCGAUCCUGAUGUAUUCGGAUGGAUUUGAGUAAGAGCAUACGGGGCCGGACCCGAAAGAAGGUGAACUAUGCCUGAAUAGGGUGAAGCCAGAGGAAACUCUGGUGGAGGCUCGCAGCGGUUCUGACGUGCAAAUCGAUCGUCAAAUUUGGGCAUGGGGGCGAAAGACUAAUCGAACCUUCUAGUAGCUGGUUCCCGC
rnacentral:misc_RNA from 1 species